UACGUAGGGGGCGAGCGUUGUCCGGAUUUACUGGGCGUAAAGGGUGAGUAGGCGGUUGUAUAUGUCAGGUGUAAAAGGCUAUGGCUUAACCAUGGUUAGCACUUGAAACUGUACAACUUGAGUGCAGGAGAGGUAAGUGGAAUUCCUAGUGUAGCGGUGAAAUGCGUAGAUAUUAGGAGGAACACCAGUGGCGAAGGCGACUUACUGGACUGUAACCGACGCUGAGUCACGAAAGCGUGGGUAGCAAACAGGAUUAGAUACCCGGGGUAGUCCCUGAG
rnacentral:rRNA from 1 species